rnacentral:rRNA from 1 species
AUGUCGUUGUCGGCAUGUUUCAACCGGAUCCACUCCUCCAAGCACAAUAACAUAGAGAGAGCAUGUGGUGCGUGGAAAAUGAAAUCUCAAAUCUUGCUCAAGAUGCCAAACUACUCAAUUAAAACACAAAAGAUGAUUGUUGCGGCUACCAUGACACUACCCAACUAUUUCCACCUCCAUGAGAAAGAGGAUAUUCACUUUCUUCGGUGUGAGAGGGAUCCGGAUUAUGUUCCAACUAUUCUAGACAGAUACAAGAAGUAUGUUAUUUCUCCAAAUGCACCGGAUGCUUCAACAUACGCGGAAACUGGUCCUAACAUGGAUUUGUUUAGGCAUGAACUAGCUACCACCAUUGCUCGUAGUUGGUGA